rnacentral:rRNA from 1 species
UACGGAGGGUGCAAGCGUUAUCCGGAUUCACUGGGUUUAAAGGGUGCGUAGGUGGGUCUGUAAGUCAGUGGUGAAAUCUCCGUGCUUAACAUGGAAACUGCCAUUGAUACUAUAGGUCUUGAAUUUUCUGGAGGUAAGCGGAAUAUGUCAUGUAGCGGUGAAAUGCUUAGAUAUGACAUAGAACACCAAUUGCGAAGGCAGCUCGCUACGCGGUUAUUGACACUGAGGCACGAAAGCGUGGGGAUCAAACAGG